rnacentral:rRNA from 1 species
CCCUUAGAUGUUCUGGGCCGCACGCGCGCUACACUGAAUGGAUCAACGUGUUUUCCCUUCCCGAGAGGGACGGGUAACCCGCUGAACCCCAUUCGUGGUAGGGAUCGGAGCUUGCAAUUGUUCUCCGUGAACCAGGAAUUCCCAGUAAGCGCAAGUCAUAAGCUUGCGUUGAUUACGUCCCUGCCCUUUGUACACACCGCCCGUCGCUACUACCGAUUGAAUGGUCCGGUGAAAUCUCGGGACGGCGGCUUGGUCGCUUGCGUCCGACUGCUGAAACUUGAUUAAACCAUAUCAUUUAGAGGAAGGUGAANUCGUAACA